rnacentral:sRNA from 1 species
UCCAUCCAUUAUCACAUCACGUCCGUCGUUCAAUGCUGUUACUAGU